rnacentral:rRNA from 1 species
CCUACGGGUGGCUGCAGUGGGGAAUCUUGGACAAUGGGCGCAAGCCUGAUCCAGCCAUGCCGCGUGAGUGAAGAAGGCCUUAGGGUUGUAAAGCUCUUUUGGCAGGGACGAUAAUGACGGUACCUGCAGAAUAAGCCCCGGCAAACUUCGUGCCAGCAGCCGCGGUAAUACGAAGGGGGCUAGCGUUGUUCGGAAUUACUGGGCGUAAAGCGCACGUAGGCGGGUCGUUAAGUCAGGGGUGAAAUCCCGGAGCUCAACUCCGGAACUGCCUUUGAUACUGGCGAUCUAGAGAUCGAGAGAGGUGAGUGGAAUUCCGAGUGUAGAGGUGAAAUUCGUAGAUAUUCGGAAGAACACCAGUGGCGAAGGCGGCUCACUGGCUCGAUACUGACGCUGAGGUGCGAAAGCGUGGGGAGCAAACAGGAUUAGAUACCCCGGUAGUC